rnacentral:rRNA from 1 species
UAGGGAAUCUUCCGCAAUGGAACGAAAGUCUGACGGAGCAACGCCGCGUGAGUGAUGAAGGUUUUCGGAUCGUAAAGCUUCUGUUCCCAGGGACAGAAUGCAAAGGGAGAGUAACUGCUCUCAAGUUUUUUUUUCCCCCGCGAUAAAUCUGCCAGCUUCUCUUUC